rnacentral:lncRNA from 1 species
AUAACUGCUCAGAAACUAGGAGGAAACUCUGACUGAAACGAAUCUGAUGGCGACUGGUGAGGAAACCAAAGUCCUACCGAAACCACGAAAUGUUCUAACUCUGCUGGAGACCAAAUAUAAAUUUGGAUGGGGAAAAAUCAACCAACUCAGCUGGGGAUGACAGAGAAAUAAUCGUCUGGAGAAAUCAACAAACACCAAGUGUUGAUCAAUGCUGUUGGGGAUGAAAGAGAAAUCGCGCUACUGCUUGAGGAGAACCAAU